GAAAUGCGAUAAGUAAUGUGAAUUGCAGAAUUCAGUGAAUCAUCGAAUCUUUGAACGCACCUUGCGCUCCUUGGUAUUCCGAGGAGCAUGCCUGUUUGAGUGUCAUUAAAUCAUCAACCUCUCCAACAUUUUGUGUUGGUUUGGCUUGGAUUUGUGGGAGACCUGUGUGGGCAUCUUAGUGAGGUCCACUCUCCUGAAAUAAAUUAGCGGAACCCUGUGUGGGACAAAGCCACUGGUGUGAUAAUUAUCUGCGCCAUUGUCUGAGUCUCCGUUCCUCUGUAAAAAGAGGGUUGGGGUGCUGCUUCAAACAGUCCAUUUGAAUUGGACAAAACCCUUGACAAUUUGACCUCAGAUCAGGUAGGACUACCCGCUGAACUUAA
rnacentral:misc_RNA from 1 species